CUGAGAACAUUUCCUACUCUCUGCUGCACAAAACAAAACAACAUACACGCUCACCUCCUCUAAAAGAUCUUUAUAGUGCCAUAAUAUAAUUAAUCACCACUUUGUUUUCAAUUUAUUCUACUUGAGUUCAUGAGUUUCAUUCUUCAAUUUUAGCCUUGCUAUUUCAAAUACAUCUAAAGCCAUUGCCAAUCACAAUUGAGCAAGAAAAGUGUAACCUACCCUCUCUACAUAACUCACGUCAAACUCCUCUUGUUAGACCAGAAAAGAAAAAACAUAAAUUUGUGAUUAUACUCUUUGGCAUGUGGUCCUUUCUUUACUAUCUGCAAACAACAAAGUUUUAGAGACAACCAAGCCCUUAUUAUAUUCUUGCGACACAAACCCCUUUUCAUAAGUCAAUCAAGCCACUCCUUUCUUCUCUUUUUAAAAUUCAUGGAAGUCUAAGAAUUGCGACUACGGCUUCGUUCACCGUCCGAUUGAGCUAAUUUUUGGAAAGCGUGUUCCCAACAUGCGGUUCUUCAAUUUCAACGGUCCGAUCGUCAAACUAUCUCCUGGAGUGAGAGAAAACGUGUCUUCACCGUAGCUGUGAGUUUGAGGUGGUUUAGAGUUCGACUAGAAAGAAAAGCUCUCGAGGUACCAAAGAAGAGAUGUUCUAUGAUUUGAAGUUUUUGCUUGAAGUGCGUACGUGGGACAAAUUGAGUUUUUUAUUUGAAUUGUAAUUUUGAAGGAAAUUUAUGUUGAGAAUUUUUGUAUAGGUUUUUAUUAAGAAUUUUUUAAUAAUGAUUAAACAAAACAAAAAAAUAGUUGUGAUUUUCUAAAAAUGAGAAUGAUUUAGGCGUAAUGUCUUGGACCAAAAUCCGAGGCGUUACAAUAUGUGUACUUCUUUUAUGUAUUUCUUUUUAAGAAACUUGUUUAAGUGUGUUA